rnacentral:rRNA from 1 species
GAAUCGCUAGUAAUCGCAAAUCAGAAUGUUGCGGUGAAUACGUUCCCGGGCCUUGUACACACCGCCCGUCACACCAUGGGAGUGGGUUGCACCAGAAGUAGAUAGCUUAACCUUCGGGAGGGCGUUUACCACGGUGUGAUUCAUGACUGGGGUGAAGUCGUAACAAGGUAACCCUAGGGGAACCUGGGGUUGGAUCACCUCCUUA